rnacentral:rRNA from 1 species
CGUGGCGCAGCUUACACAUGCAGUCGAACGGAAUCUUCGGAUUUAGUGGCGGACGGGUGAGUAACGCGUGAGAAUCUAGCUCUAGGUCGGGGACAACCACUGGAAACGGUGGCUAAUACCGGAUGUGCCGAAAGGUGAAAGAUUUAUUGCCUAGAGAUGAGCUCGCGUCUGAUUAGCUAGUUGGUGUGGUAAGAGCGCACCAAGGCGACGAUCAGUAGCUGGUCUGAGAGGAUGAUCAGCCACACUGGGACUGAGACACGGCCCAGACUCCUACGGGAGGCAGCAGUGGGGAAUUUUCCGCAAUGGGCGAAAGCCUGACGGAGCAAUACCGCGUGAGGGAGGAAGGCUCUUGGGUUGUAAACCUCUUUUCUCAGGGAAUAAGAAAGUGAAGGUACCUGAGGAAUAAGCAUCGGCUAACUCCGUGCCAGCAGCCGCGGUAAUACGGAGGAUGCAAGCGUUAUCCGGAAUGAUUGGGCGUAAAGCGUCCGCAGGUGGCACUGUAAGUCUGCUGUUAAAGAGCAAGGCUCAACCUUGUAAAGGCAGUGGAAACUACAGAGCUAGAGUACGUUCGGGGCAGAGGGAAUUCCUGGUGUAGCGGUGAAUUGGCGGUAGAAAUA